AUUCUGCCCAUGCGGGGAAGGAUGAGAAGCUUCGACCAAGGUUCGACUCGAGGCCAGCGAGAGAGCGUUGCCGCAGGCAACGACCCGUAGGGCGAAGCGCGCAGCGCUGAGUAAUCCUUCCCCCACAACCA
rnacentral:sRNA from 1 species